rnacentral:tRNA from 1 species
GGCUCAGUGGGAGAGCGUCUGCCUUGGAAGCAGCAGGUCCUGGGUUCAAUCCCCAAAGACA